rnacentral:rRNA from 1 species
GUCGGUGUCUUUAGCGAUGAGGGUCCACCCGUUCCCAUCCCGAACACGGCAGUUAAGCUCAUCAGUGCUGAAAAUACUUGGUUGGAAGCGACCCGGGAAGAUAAGGCGAUGCCGACA